GCCAGUUGAGGUGUGGUACUCGCCGAUACCGAUGCCAGCAUUUUCGGCAGUAUCAGAGGCAUUUCCAAUACUGGUAUUGGAAUCGGAACCUCUC